UUUGGUUGAGUUCGCGACAGUCGUAUGCGGUGGAGUAGAAAUGGAAAACUUUUCCGGACCUGCAUCCACUUUCGGCAACUGGAAGCGCACCUGUUCCAACGGAUCCAAUACGGAUAGAAACCAUUUCGCUGCUGCUGCUAUGGAAAAUCAUGUUUACAUCUCCAAUCUCGCUGCGGGACCUGCUGACCGUACCGUACUGAAAUAUGUACGUGAAUUAUAGAGCUUGGAGGUCGCCGCUUUGUGUUGGAUCUGUGUGCCUCUGGGAUGAUAUGGACAUUACCAUUUCCACAUCCUCGUCAUCUUCCAGCUCCACCAGUGCAGUUUCUCACGAGGUUUCUCACCAAUGACCAUGAUAUUGGGGUCGCCCUCGGCUGGCCUGUUCGUCUGGUUGCCGGGAAAUCGGUACUGCUGUCAGCUCUUGCGGGAUGGGUGACCUGCCUUGACCUUUCCCAACUGCUUCAUUAACGCAAGUCGAUGCAUCGCCGUCCUGUAACCCCUCCACGACAACUCCUCCGUGCCGCGGUCUGAGGAAACAAUUGUCACUCGAUGGUGAGCAGAUCCGUGGCCUAAUAGAAUCCUUCAAUUUC